GUAGAAACAUCUGUUUUAAAAUAUAAGGUAGUAGUUUCGAAAACAUAGCCGCCGAUUUUCAUUAGUGAUAACAAAGGUUAAAUUUAAUUAACGGUUAAUUAUACUAGAACAAAUUUCUCUCGACUGUUCUAUUUGCUUGGAACGGCUCAAUAUACCAAAAACGCUUCCCUGUGGACACACGUUUUGAUUACGGUGACUAGAAGAUCUAGUAAGGCAUACUCUUUCAAGGCAGUAUAGUUCUUCAAACGACAUCGGAUGUCCCAACUGUCGAGCCACACAUAGCAUUCCGUCAACUGGUGUAGCCGGUUUUGACACAAAUUACGAUUACGAGCACCAUCAAGAAGCCGACCGCCAGAAUUUGGUUUCCAACCAAGUAUGAGCAGAACAUCAGUCUGGGGGAAUUGCUUGAUUGUUGGCAUCUGUGGAAUUAUUGCCGGCAUCUGUGAGUUUACAAGAAGAAUAAGACGAAUGGAACAGCGUGCUCUUCUGAAUGAUUCUUGUUCAUGGUACUGCUUAUCUAUAUUCAUAUGCGAAUUUGUUACCUCCAGUCUAUUCGUUGCAGGGGCAGCGAAGUUGUCAUCAAACUGUGGUCUUGAACAUGAAGCUGCAGUAUUCUUGUUUAUUAGGAUGUGCGUUGAUGCCGUUUUCUGGGGAGCACAUAUUGUAUGGAUCUUCAGACGGAAAACUAAAAAACUACCAAAUUACACUUUUAUACAUAUAUAUAUAACCUGGUUAUUUGUUGGAGCGAUAUAUAUGUGGGGAAACUUCUGCAACUUUAGCAAGGAAUGCCCCGGCUCUGGUUUCCAUUUUAUCAAACUUGCCCUGUCUCUUACAAUUUUUGAUUUCAUUGGACUUAUUGUGUAUGAUUUUUAUGUGUUUACGUCCAUCAUUUAACUAAAGCAUUUUCAGUGAAAGUUCGUUAGGUACCAUUUUGUAACAUUUUACUUUCCUUUUUCUAUCUAUUCCACCGUGUAAAUCGAGUAAAGCAGGAAUGUGAAACUUUCGCAGAAAUCACGCAAAGGAACGCCUCAAUCUGUGAAAAGCUAUUUCCGAAACAAGAAACACAAUGAGUAUACGGACGAAAAUAUUUGAGUGAAUUUAAUUAAAAGAAAUGAAUAAGUUCAAAAAGCUGCUAUGACAUUAUACUUUAAUCAGCAUAACAACUAUUUGAAGGAAUAUGUUAACUUUCUGAGAUCAUUCGUGAAAUGACUGCCUGGCUACCGUUGUAAAAGCGACCUUUUUGUUUCACCGAUAUAUAUUACAGGAGGAUGAACGUUUAAGCUUACACGCAAAACGCACGCUCCGGAAAAAACGCACGCACGUUAGACGCUAUACGAACGAUCGUAACACGCAAGCUUUACGAAACGAAAUACGCAGAUGAUAGCUACGCAAUCAUGUAUUUCAAACGGGUCUGUGUUAGAGCUAUAAUGCACUCAACCUGGCACAACAUUAUCUUUGUCGCGCAGCCUCAACAAAUGAUUUUUGACAUUAUAAACUAUCAUGCGCUUAUAUCAAAAAAUAACUGAACGGGUUCGUCUUUAUGCACAUUUCUGAAAAAAAUAAUUUGCUUUAGCCCAGAAAUCUCUUAGAUAGACGUUAAUUACGUCGAUACCGCUUCUGGCGUAAACAAAAUAAAACGGAUAUGGUAGAAACUUUAGCAAAUUAGCGAUCAAACUAUCAAGUCAUUUACAUAGAAGCGAACGAAAUUAAUAUGACAUUUGUAAACAAAAGGAAAACAUACUUUGCAGACCGGCAGCCCAACAUAUUUUCAAGCUAUAUGUUUUAGGACUUUACACCUCCUGGACGUUUAGGCCAUGAACGUUUCGGCCUUAAAACCACGGUCUUUUCGUCACCUUUUUUUAAAUUUGAUAAAUAUAUUAAAUAAAUACCAUGUAUUAUGGGUUAUAAUAUUAUAUAACACAUACUUGCAAACAAUUGUAUUCAUGAUUGAUAUAAAGAAGAUUUUUUGGUGAUAAAUAUAAUGAAAUUUCCCUGGGAAAAUAAUAACUGAUAUGAUAUUUUAUAUGAGUUCUGAAAGAAUUAUCAGCUAUAAAUCUACAUGUAUAUAUUUAUUCAUUCUUUUUGUUAUCAAAAAAAAAAAAAAUACCAUUAAAAGACAUUGAUUAAAAUAUGUUUUUUUAUAUAACAGGUAAGAACAAUUAGAAGUGUGAAAAAAAAUGAAUAAAGCUAUAUUAUUUUAAUUAUUAUAAACACUGGUUUAUUAUUAAGAACCUUUAAUUUAUAAGUGUGUAACUGAUACUAGGUAACAAUUACAUCGGUGAUGUGUCCCCACAAGCCUUAUGAAAUUUAAUGAAUAAUUGUAAAAUAUUAAGAAUAAUUAAACUUUCAUUUUGGGCCCGAAACUGUAAGUGAGAAAAAAAUGAGGAAAAUGAAGAAACCUGUCAACUUCAUGCACCUCCAUAAGUGCCAGCUAGGAGGGGAGGAGUGUGGGACUCCAAUAAUUUUUGAAUCAUGUGUAAACUAUAAAGUAUAUUGAUUUACCAAAAGAGCGGCGCAUCAUAAAAUAUCUUUCAUAGCAGUUGAAAUUGAAAUUUGUUGACAUUAUAUGCAUUUAAUAUGCAACAUUAAAUGCCUAAUACCUUCCUUUUUUGUUACUGUCACAAGUUUUAAAAAAGGCGCUGUCUUACCAGGACUUGAACCUCAAUUCUGCCGCUCAACCGACUGAACUAUAUUGUAUUAGCCUGUAUUCUAUUAUUGAAAUUCGUUCUUGAAUGGGUACAGUGAACAAUGUGAAAUAGGACUUUUUUAAAGUUUUAUACCAUCCAUCACUGUCCCCUUUGGAAUAGGUGAUGGUAUGAAACUUAAAGACCAAUUUCUCAUUGUUUUAUUACUUAUCGUUGGGAGUCAAAUGUCAAAAGGUGAGAAAAAUAUGCAGCCUGACUGGGACGUAAGCCAGGGACCCCUGGAAUACUGUCCCGCAGCUGACUACCGACUAAGCUAUCAGUCCGCUUGCACAUCUUCUUCCCUCAAUAAUGAACAGUUCUAAGCUGUGACUUUACUAUAAAGAAUUGAAUAAAUCAUUUUUACGGUAUAUUUUUGUGAUUCCAUAUACCAUGCCAGUAAUGGAUCUCUACUCCAAAUAAACUAUUGUAUUAUAAGUGCAGGGACAGGGAAGGCUGAUAGUGGAUCUGCACACCUCUGUCUGUCCUGGUUUUGGGCAUCAUAGGAAAUUUGCCAUACCUUUUUAUUAUUCAAUGAAAUUUGGUGGAUUUAUUUCAUAAUAAUCAAACAGAUGUAAUUGUUACUCAAUAUUAUAGUAAUAUGUUGCCUUACUAACUUGGUUUCAUUUCCUAGGAGGUUAUAAUAAGGUAAAAUUAUCCCAUUUUUUAAAGAUUUAAUGUAUUUGCUUGAUAGAAAGUUUACCUUAACUUCAUAGUCAAUAUAAUUCAACUGGGCUUUCUUAUUUAAGCCAAUUAGAUGUAUUAGUUACUUGAUAGUAUAACAUUAUGUGGCUUUACUAACUUUGUUUCAGUGACCAGAAGCUUUAAACUAGGUAAACUUACCCCAGUUUUCAAUGAUUUAGUGUGGUGAAGUUAUUAAUAAGGCAUCAUAGAAAAUAAGCCAUAAUUUCUUAAAUUUUCAAUGAAAUUUGUUCUUAUAUAAGUCAAUUUGAUUUAGGUAUUACUUAAUAUUAUAAUACUAUGUUGCUUUACUAACUUUGAUUUAUUUACCACGAGGUUAUAAUCAGGUAAAAUUAUCCCCCAUUUUUAAUGAAUUAGUGUGUUAGCUUGUAUAGUUAUACAUCAUAGGAAAUUAGCCAUAUUUUUUUAAUAUUCAAUUAAAUUUAUUAAGAUAUUCUUAUUUUUAUCAAUUAGAUACAUGUAUGUUUGUUAAUUAAUAUAAUAGAUUUAUCUUGCACUUAUAACUCUGUUUCAUUUCCUAGGCUUUUAUAAUACGGUCAAAUUCCCCAUUUUGUAGAGAAUGUGUACUAUUUUAAGACAGUUAGGCAUCUUAGGAAAUUUGCCAUAAUUCUUAUAUUUUGUAAUGAAAUUUGGUGGAACUUCCUUAGUUUUGUCAAUUAGAUAUGUUUGUUAGUUAAUUUACAUGUCGUAGAUUUAUGUUGCACUUAUAGCUUUGUUUAACUUCCAAAUCUAUUAUAAUAAGGUAAAAUUUUCAUAUUUUGUAGUGAUUUAGUGUAUUAUCUUGGACAGUAAGGCAUCUUAGGGGAUAUGCCAUAAUUCUUAUAUUUUGUAAUAAAAUUUGCUAGGACUCCCUUAUUUUAGUCAAUUGAAUAUGUUUGUUAAUUAAUAUAAUAGAUUUAUGUUAUAUGAAAAACUCUGUAUCAUUUCCUAAGAGGUUAGGUUUAAGGUGAAAUACCCGGUGUAUCGACAUUUUAUGCGCUUUCUUUAAUAGUUGGGGUCCAAAUGGAAUUUUCUAUAACAUUUGGAAUUUAAAUGGAGAAUUAUUGGAAUCUUCUUUUUUAAGUCAUCUAAUUAAAGCUUUUAAUUAAUAAAGUUUAUUUUGAUUGAGUUAUCAAUUACAUUUCUUUUCAUAGAGAUCUCGUAUUAUUCCCUUUUUAAUGAAUUGACCUACCUAUGAAGCAUGAAAUUGAUAUUGUAGGAAAAUUUAUACAAUCAAUUGAAAUUGUACAAGUCGCAAGGGAUAUUAGUAUGCAAAAUGGGUACCAAUUAACCUGUUCUUACAAAUUUAUAUACUGGUUUCAACAUCCAGUUCUCAGACUGAGUCAAUUCCACUACAGACUCCUGAUAGAGUGGGUGUUUGCUUGCACUCUUGAAUAAAUUUGUGGACUAAAUUUUAUGGUGGCUGAGUUGGUAAUGGGACAUUCCGGACAAUGGACAUUUCCUAUCAGACACGUAAAACCAAAUUUUGGGACACUCCGGAACAGAUUAUUGGACAUUUCGAACCAGAUAUUUGGACACUUUGGCCCAUACAUUGGACACUUCGGACCAAUCUUUUAGACACUUUAUACUUAUGUAUGGGAUGUAUCGGACCAGAUUAAAAUAUAUUUUUUUGUUAUAUACAUGUAUAUCGUUAUUUUUACAAAGACCUGGAAAAACGACAAAAUGCCAUGAGCGCCGGACAAAAAUAGAACAAAACUUCUUAGUCGUAAUUUCAAGUUUUCAAGUUUUCGUCUUGUGCCUAGGGAAGAAAAAGUACGACAUGGUACAUAUUAGCCACCAUAGAAUUUUCUUAUCUAGGAAAAAAAGGUUAGCUAUUUUUAUUUGUACAAAAAUAAAGAAAUAGUACAACUAUCAAUAAAUGUCUCAUUCCAUUUUAGUAAACAAUAAUUAUAAAACUCGUAAUAUAUUUUAUUGUAAUUUUUGUCAAGAGUGUGUGUGUGUGUGUGUGUGUUUUUUUUUCAAAUUGUAUUAAUUUAGAAUUUAUUUACCUGUUUUUUUUAACUAUUCAGCCGUAUUUGUCACGAUUUAGAGGUGGUCACUAUUAAGCACAUACAAUGUGUAAGCGGCCGGACAGCUCAGUCGGUACAGCCGCGUAACGGUAUUCUGAGGGUCACGGGUUCGAGUCCACAUUUUUCUCACCCUGGGACUUACAUUAUCACCCUGUGACUUGCAUAUACAGUAGGUUUACAACUAUUCUGUAUUUAAACACAUAAAAUGUAUAAGCAGCCGAAUAGCUCAUAGGGAAGAGCCGCGGAAUGGUAUUCCGAGUUUCAGGGGUUCGAGUCCCUGCCAUGCUGUUACAUAUCAAUAUAAAUCUGUUAAGAAAAAUGGGAAGGAACUGUCUAAAAAAAAAUAUCACCAUAAAUAGGAUUCGGACAGUCUUUGAUGAAACGUCAGAAUAUGAAGUGGUAAGAGGGGGGGGGGGGGGGGGCUGUGCUAGUCUAAUUACCAUCACAUAUGAUGUCUGACGAACGUCAUAUCGGAUAUAUUGUUACGCAUAUAAACACCUGUUUGCUGAAUUGAAUAUCAAAAAUUAAAUAGUAAUUAAAUCUUAAGCGUAUGUAAAAUAAGAUUAAAACUAAUCUUCGGCGUAAAGCACGUAGAAAUCUGAUAUUCACCACGAGGUCACAAACUUUAAAAUUUUAAUGUAAAGAUCACACUAAUAUUUCUUUAUAGAAUAUUUCUAUUCUUUGAUAGGGACACUGAACAUCUUUUACACGUUAAAGAAACCCGAAAUUUACAAAAUAUAUCUAUCUAAGAUAUUCUCUUACUUCUCAAUAGUAACAGAAGAAAAACACGGUACUUAAACGUUUAGACGAACGCAGACGCACGCAAAACGUUUAGCACUGGGAAUAACAAAUGCACACUUUCAAACGCACGGUAAACAAACUAAACGGUAAACUAUGCACGCUUUAGAAAGUGUUUCAACAAACCCUCGUUGCACGAUAUACGCACGCACGAUAUACGAAAAACGCACGCACAAAAAACACUAUUUUUGACAACUGAAACGUUCACCCUACUGUAGUACAAUAACGCAUUUAAACGCUCAAUAUUUUUGAUAUUCCAAUAACCUUAGAUAUUUGCUAAUAUACCAGUGUCGUAUAAUACUAAAAGAAAUCAGAUAAAUUAUGAUUCAGGUACUAUUAAUGGGCUAAUCAGCAAAACUUUGAUGUAUCAUUCACGAAUUUGGUUAAACUCCAAAAAAAUGUCUUAGUCACAGUUCAUCUGCUAAUUCAUAUAGGACCACAUUCAUACAGUACACCGAAAUAUGCAUCAGUUAUGUACGUUGGUUUCCGGAAAAACAUAUGCGGACGCCAUGUCAAGAAAAUGAACAGUAGGUUUUAAAAUUUUGAAUUAUUUUUGUAAAUAUGAAGUACAUAUGUAUAACUGAAAAUAAAUCGAAAUGCUAUUCGACCCGCACGUAGUUCCUUGAUAGUAGCUAAGUCAUGUAUUGUCAUUUGAAGCAGUCUUUUGUGAAAUGUUUGUUGUCGUUGGUUCAGUUAUAUCAAACAUCUAACAUAUUGAUCAAGAACAUGAUAAAAGAGAGGCUAAAAGUACUAUUAACAAUCACACACUGUUGACAAGUAAUUAUUUAAAAUGGAAAUCAAAAGAAAGUAACUUGGCCAAAAUUCAGAUUGUGAUCAAGUUUUGGAUAUGUGUUCUAUAAGCAAACAUAAAAUACGCUAUAAUUCUUCGCUAAAUACAAAAAAUAAAUACUUUGGUGAUUAACAAGUUUUUUAAGAAAGAACAAAUACGUAACCUUGACAUGUUCAACUUUUCGAUGUCUGUGUAUAAAUAAAUAAAUCUAUUGAUUUAAAAUUAUUUUGUUUUGAAAAUGUUGUUUUUCAUAUGCAAUUAAUGUUAAUAUUACUUUACAUUUUGGAAUUAUUGACAUGGAAUAUAAUUUGUAUGCCAAGAUAUGCUUUGAAUGAUAUGCAGUGACACACACAUUAUCAUGUAUUUGAACAUAAUUUAAAACCUUGCAGACAAACUUUUUAGUUUUGAUUGAAAUACUUAUAAUGUCCCUUUCAAUCUAACUCUUUAAAUAAUAAAUCAUAACUGGAAUGAAGUCUAAGUGUACUGUAUGGAAACGUCGGUCGCUUUCUAUGGUAGAUAUAUAAAGGAUUAAACUUAUUAUAUGUAAAAUGAUAAGAAUCUUCUUGUUAAAAAGCAGUCUGUCAUAUAUUCUUAUCUUCUUUUUCCAAUCGUUUUAAUCAUCUAUGUGAAAAGAUGCAGGAUAUUUACCUCGCUAAAUGUCAAGACUACAUCCGUUUGAUCGAGCAAGGGCUUGGACGACAACUUGCACUUUCCAGUACCGUCUAUGAUCCGCAACAUGUUCAAUUUUUUAGUUUUUGAGUGUUCCAUUAAGGGGUUCCAUUUUUCUCAAUUCUGUGAAUAUUUCUCGUCAUCACAGACAAAGGUUGAUUAAUUGUAUAUUAUUUUGAUCUUAUUGUCAGUCAUAUACUCACGUUGAAUGAUUGACACACAUAAACCCACGACAACAUUCUUUUUGAAAACAGUCCGCAUCAAACGACAAUUGAUAAAUGGAUAACUGAACAAUAAAAGGGUUGCAUAGCAUUUUGAUUGGUUUUAAUAAAGCUUAUAUUUAACAUCCCAAAUUAACAAAACCCCUAAAAAACUUACUGUUUAUAAUUGGUAUCAUAUAUCAUUUAACCAAAAACAAACAUAUCUUUUUAACGACUUACAAGUUUUGAUGAACUAUAUAAAGUUGAUCCCCUGUGCAAUUGAGGUGUUAUAUGACACAUCAAAAUUAGCAACACACAAAUCGCCUUCAAUACGCUAACCAGGUCGUCAUCCUCACGAAUGAUCUUGGAAAUAUGUUACAUUAUGUUUUACAAAUUAUUUUUAAGCAACCGUAUGCGCAUAAUAUUUUCAAUUAAUUUAUUCUAAAAUAUAGUGAUUUAUUUAA